rnacentral:rRNA from 1 species
UACAGAGGUCUCAAGCGUUGUUCGGAUUCAUUGGGCGUAAAGGGUGCGUAGGCGGCGGGGCAAGUCGGAUGUGAAAUCUCAGGGCUCAACCCUGAAACUGCAUUCGAUACUGCCUUGCUCGAGGACUGGAGAGGAGAUUGGAAUUCACGGUGUAGCAGUGAAAUGCGUAGAUAUCGUGAGGAAGACCAGUGGCGAAGGCGGCAUCCUGGACCAGCACUGACACUGAGGAGCGAAAGCCAGGGGAGCAAACGGG